UACGUAGGGUGCAAGCGUUGUCCGGAAUUAUUGGGCGUAAAGAGCUCGUAGGCGGUCUGUUGCGUCGGCUGUGAAAACCCGGGGCUCAACUCCGGGCCUGCAGCCGAUACGGGCAGACUAGAGUUCGGCAGGGGAGACUGGAAUUCCUGGUGUAGCGGUGAAAUGCGCAGAUAUCAGGAGGAACACCGGUGGCGAAGGCGGGUCUCUGGGCCGACACUGACGCUGAGGAGCGAAAGCGUGGGGAGCGAACAGG
rnacentral:rRNA from 1 species